CUAUAUGUACCCUGUAGAACCAAAUUUGCGUGCUGCACAAACAUUCGCAAAUACGUCUCUACAGGAAUACAUGGG
rfam:Poecilia formosa, whole genome shotgun sequence.